AUGAACGCUAGCUACAGGCUUAACACAUGCAAGUCGAGGGGCAGCGGGGAGGAAGCUUGCUUUCUCUGCCGGCGACCGGCGCACGGGUGAGUAACGCGUAUCGAACCUGCCUCAUACUCGGGAAUAGCCUUGCGAAAGUAAGAUUAAUGCCCGAUGUUUUCAGCGGUCCGCAUGAACUGCUGAACAAAGAUUUAUCGGUAUGAGAUGGCGAUGCGUCCCAUUAGCUUGUUGGCGGGGUAACAGCCCACCAAGGCAUCGAUGGGUAGGGGUUCUGAGAGGAAGGUCCCCCACAUUGGAACUGAGACACGGUCCAAACUCCUACGGGAGGCAGCAGUGAGGAAUAUUGGUCAAUGGACGCAAGUCUGAACCAGCCAAGUAGCGUGCAGGACGACGGCCCUCCGGGUUGUAAACUGCUUUUAGUUGGGAAUAAAGUGCAGCUCGUGAGCUGUUUUGUAUGUACCAUCAGAAAAAGGACCGGCUAAUUCCGUGCCAGCAGCCGCGGUAAUACGGAAGGUCCAGGCGUUAUCCGGAUUUAUUGGGUUUAAAGGGAGCGCAGGCGGACUCUUAAGUCAGUUGUGAAAUACGGCGGCUCAACCGUCGGACUGCAGUUGAUACUGGGAGUCUUGAGUGCACACAGGGAUGCUGGAAUUCAUGGUGUAGCGGUGAAAUGCUCAGAUAUCAUGAAGAACUCCGAUCGCGAAGGCAGGUAUCCGGGGUGCAACUGACGCUGAGGCUCGAAAGUGCGGGUAUCAAACAGGAUUAGAUACCCUGGUAGUCCACGCCGUAAACGAUGGUCACUAAGUGUCGGGGGUCAAACCCCGGUGCUGCAGUCAACGCAAUAAGUGACCCGCCUGAGUAGUACGUUCGCAAGAAUGAAACUCAAAGGAAUUGACGGGGGCCCGCACAAGCGGAGGAACAUGUGGUUUAAUUCGAUGAUACGCGAGGAACCUUACCCGGGCUUGAACUGAGGGGGAAUGAGCCAGAGAUGACUCAGUCUUCGGACUCCCUUGGAGGUGUUGCAUGGUUGUCGUCAGCUCGUGCCGUGAGGUGUCGGCUUAAGUGCCAUAACGAGCGCAACCCUCAUCCUCGUUUGCCAUCAGGUAAUGCUGGGCACUCCGGGGAUACUGCCAUCGUAAGAUGUGAGGAAGGUGGGGAUGACGUCAAAUCAGCACGGCCCUUACGUCCGGGGCUACACACGUGUUACAAUGGGCGGUACAGAGGGCAGCCACCACGCGAGUGGAAGCUAAUCCUCAAAGCCGUUCUCAGUUCGGACUGGAGUCUGCAACCCGACUCCACGAAGCUGGAUUCGCUAGUAAUCGCGCAUCAGCCAUGGCGCGGUGAAUACGUUCCCGGGCCUUGUACACACCGCCCGUCAAGCCAUGAAAGCCGGGAGCACCUGAAGACCGUGACCGCAAGGGUCGGCCUAGGGUGAUACUGGUGAUUGGGGCU
rnacentral:rRNA from 1 species